UGGGGGAUAUUGCACAAUGGGCGAAAGCCUGAUGCAGCGACGCCGCGUGGGGGAUGAAGGCCUUCGGGUUGUAAACUUCUUUUGCUCUGAACAAGGCAUGCCUUUGGGGUGUGUUGAGUGUAGGGGUUGAUUAGCGCCGGCUAACUACGUGCCAGCAGCCGCGGUAAUACGUAGGGCGCGAGCGUUGUCCGGAAUUAUUGGGCGUAAAGGGCUUGUAGGUGGCUGGUUGCGUCUGUCGUGAAAGCUCAUGGCUUAACUGUGGGUUUGCGGUGGGUACGGGCUGGCUUGAGUGCAGUAGGGGAGGCUGGAAUGCCUGGUGUAGCGGUGGAAUGCGGAGAUAUCAGGAGGAGUACCGGUGGCGAAGGCGGGUCUCUGGGCUGUUACUGACGCUGAGGAGCGAAAGCGUGGGGAGCGAACAGG
rnacentral:rRNA from 1 species